GGGCAGGGGUGCGCAGUGAAGAUGAAAAGUCCUCUGUUCCACGCUGGUGUUUGGGACACUUCAGCAGAGUGGGGGACCUGCUAUUUGGCAGCUAUUCGGCUCUCAGGCUUCUUCGGGAAGGUGUUAACCUGUUUUUCACAGCCCAGGUGUUGGAGGCUGAAUCUGGCUGCUCUUCGUGCCUGGGUUUAAUGGAGAUAGGCUGGAUACAGGCGACACGAAGGAGAGCAAGAAGGCAACACUACUGGAUGGACACAGCUUUGCAAGGAAUUUGGGGAAGGACCAGGCAAUCCUGGGAGGCUCUUCUCACUGAUGUGCUAGUCUCAGGACACCUUGGAAGCUUCAAGACCCAGCCGGGAAGAGGAGAAGGAGCUCCCCAGGGAGUGCGAAGCCUGGGAGGAGGCUGCAGCGCUGGAAAUAGGAUUUAGCCCUUGAUUUUGGAAAGCCGUAUAAACCUGCCUUCCUCAGAGCCACACCUGCGCGCAACCCGAGCUCCAAAACCAGCCCGAAGCAAGGAUGCUCUCUGGUGACACUUUCUUGCUCUGCAAAUCAAGCUGCGCCUGGAGGAGGAGGAGCGUCUCUGCUGCCUUCUCGCGGGGUCCCAACGCAUUAUGUCACCCCUGGCAUCUGGCAGGCCUUCGAUACGGGAACACCAAGGUAUGCUGAAAAAAAAAAUAAUCAUAAAGUUUGGUUUUGCCUGAUUUCUGGCCAGUUAUUGCAGCUCCUGGGGUUACCGAUAGUUCAUAUACCCAGAA